rnacentral:rRNA from 1 species
UACGUAGGUGGCAAGCGUUGUCCGGAAUUAUUGGGCGUAAAGGGCUCGCAGGCGGUUUCUUAAGUCUGAUGUGAAAGCCCCCCGGCUCAACCGGGGAGGGUCAUUGGAAACUGGGAAACUUGAGUGCAGAGGAGGAGAGUGGAAUUCCACGUGUAGCGGUGAAAUGCGUAGAGAUGUGGAGGAACACCAGUGGCGAAGGCGACUCUCUGGUCUGUAACUGACGCUGAGGAGCGAAAGCGUGGGGAGCGAACAGG